AUUGAACGCUGGCGGCAGGCCUAACACAUGCAAGUCGAGCGGAUGAAGGGAGCUUGCUCCUGGAUUCAGCGGCGGACGGGUGAGUAAUGCCUAGGAAUCUGCCUGGUAGUGGGGGAUAACGUCCGGAAACGGGCGCUAAUACCGCAUACGUCCUGAGGGAGAAAGUGGGGGAUCUUCGGACCUCACGCUCUCAGAUGAGCCUAGGUCGGAUUAGCUAGUUGGUGGGGUAAAGGCCUACCAAGGCGACGAUCCGUAACUGGUCUGAGAGGAUGAUCAGUCACACUGGAACUUGGACACGGUCCAGACUCCUACGGGAGGCAGCAGUGGGGAAUAUUGGACAGUGGGCGAAAGCCUGAUCCAGCCAUGCCGCGUGUGUGAAGAAGGUCUUCGGAUUGUAAAGCACUUUAAGUUGGGAGGAAGGGCAGUAAGUUAAUACCUUGCUGUUUUGACGUUACCAACAGAAUAAGCACCGGCUAACUUCGUG
rnacentral:rRNA from 1 species